rnacentral:lncRNA from 1 species
GCUUGUAAAACCUUUAUUUGAACACCUUCGAAAAGGUUUGACCUUUAUACAAGUAUUUAUAUUUUAAACAUUUUAACAUUUACUUAAUUUUGUAUUAUGAGGCGCUUGUAAAACCUUUAUUUGAGCACCUUCGAAUUUGGCCUUCACAUGAGCAUUUAGGGAAGGUUAAAAUAUGCCAUAAAUCUUUAUACUCUUUGUAAGUUUAGAAUUUAGUUCUUUUACUUUUAUUUCUAGGAAUUAAGUCUUACUUUUUAGAUUUCAAAAUUCAGGUCCAAUUAUUAACAUUGUUACAUUUUUAGAAAUAAAAGUACAUGGACUAAAUUCCAAAUUUGUGAAGAGUAUAGGGACCUAUGGCAUAUUUUAACCUACAGGUAAAAUGAUA